AUCUUCUCGCUCGCAAACCCUUUCUUCUCUAAAUGGAAUCUGUCCAUUUCUUCUCACAUUCUCACCGGUGAAUGCAUUCCAAUCUUCUCACGCCGUCGCCAUCACCGUCGCCGUUCUCACGCCGUCGCCAUCACCGUGGACGUCUUCGAAUCUUCUCACAUUUUUGGAUUUGCUCGCGUGAGCUUCCCCCCAAAUUCCCCUUUUCAUUUUCUUAACUUUCGGUGAGAUCUCUCCAAUCCUCUCUUGGAUUUCAUUUUCUCUUCAUUCUAUCAAUUUCAAAUACCAAACACUCUAUUCUCCAUACUAUUCUCUCAUUUUUCUUCUACAGUUCUAAAGAUAGGACAGAGGAAGAUGAUGAGGAGGAUGAUCGAGAGAUUGAUUCACAUGAAGAGAGUUGGAUGUCAACUAUUUUUUUAUAGAGGAUUGGAGUAUAGUUCGCCAACACUUGCUUCCGCCAUAAGUAAUCUAAUUCCAGCUCUUACUUUCAUCUUGGCUGUUCUUUUCGGCUUCGGAGGUUAGGGUUAUGGAACCAGCUUGAAGUAGAGUUGGUGUUGAAGGUGAUGGGAUGCGAUUUGUGAGUAGUGAUUUACGGAAAAUGAUGUCUCUACGGCUUGGUUCCCUUCAACUUCUCUCAAAUCCAAACACCAACCUUCACAAUAUGAAGAUCUUCCACAUCAAUCCACUGAUGCUGACAUUUUCGUCACCGACAACAAAAUAGUUCCAUCUCAUCCCGCUAGUUACUACGUAGCGGCUGUUGGCGGUGGUGAAGAAGUGCUGGUGGUUAACACUACAUUUUGAUUUGGUGAUUUUGAGUAACUAUGUAGAGUUCUUGUACCAGGCAAGUUCUUCUACCCUUGUUUUAAUUUCUUUAUUAUGCUAUCGAUUGUUUAGGC